rnacentral:rRNA from 1 species
GACGUAGGAGGCGAGCGUUGUCCGGAUUCAUUGGGCGUAAAGAGCGCGCAGGCGGCUUGGUAAGUCGGAUGUGAAAACCCGAGGCUCAACCUCGGGCGUGCAUCCGAUACUGCUCGGCUAGAGGUAGGUAGGGGAGAUCGGAAUUCCUGGUGUAGCGGUGAAAUGCGUAGAUAUCAAGAGGAACACCUGAGGUGAAGACGGGUUGCUGGGCUGACACUGACGCUGAUGCGCGAAAGCCAGGGGAGCAAACGGG